rnacentral:rRNA from 1 species
AUCUCUGUAGAGUCUGCAUAUCAAUAAGCGGAGGAAAAGAAACUAACAAGGAUUCCCUAGUAACGGCGAGUGAAGCGGGAAGAGCUCAAAUUUGAAAUCUUAAAGGUUUUACCUUGACGAAUUGUAGUUUAAAGAAGUGUUUUCUGUUGAAGUUUCGGUAAAAGUUCUUUGGAAUAGGACAUCAUAGAGGGUGAGAAUCCCGUAUUUGACCAGUGACUUUCCAGCUGUGUGAUACACUUUCAAAGAGUCGGAUUGUUUGGGAAUGCAGUCCGAAAUGGGUGGUAAAUUUCAUCUAAAGCUAAAUAUUGGCGAGAGACCGAUAGCGAACAAGUACCGUGAGGGAAAGAUGAAAAGAACUUUGAAAAGAGAGUUAAACAGUACGUGAAAUUGUCAAAAGGGAAGCGUUUGACACCAGUGUUGUUUAGUUGAAAAUCAAUUCAAUAAUUUUUGAUUUUAAGUAGUAUUGACUUCAUCAGCUUGCUGCUUUCUUUUCAGGAAUUAUUGAAUGCACUUUUCAGUUAACAAGUCAACAUCAAUUUCUUUUGUUGUAAAAGGGUAAGAGGAAGGUGGCUUACGCUUCGGCGUAAGUGUUUAUAGCCUUUUACCUCUGCAAUCGGAGAGACUGAGGUCUGCAGCGUAGAUCCUUCGGGGUUAGAUACAUUUGUGCUAAGUUAUAACUUUUCAUAGACAACUUGUUGACUAUGUUUAGUCAUGUAGCUUACUCGCCUAUGCUAUUUUACCUACGCUUAGGAUGUUGAACGCGCACAGAGUCUC